AUAGCUCUAGGCGGUGGAUCACUCGGCUCGCGAGUCGAUGAAGAGCGCAGCUAGCUGCGUUAAGUAAUGUGAAUUGCAGGACACAUUGAACAUCGAACUCUUGAACGCAUAUUGCGGUCCCGGGUCAAUCCCGGGACCACGCCCGUCUCAGGGUCGUAUG
rnacentral:rRNA from 1 species